GCUGCGUUGUAAGCGUAUCACUUAAAGACUACACCCCCUUCACCCCAUAGAGCAAUUAGUACAGUCAAAAAAAUUGCCUUGGACAGCCAUUAGUUUUCCAAAAGAAUUGACUUUAAUGAGAUUCUUUCAUCAGGCUUGCAGACAUACAGUGAAAUGGUAGAGAGGAAAAAAACAAUUAUUUAAUUGUAGGCUAAGUGUUGAGAUCAUGGGCCUACAUUACAGAGGCUUCCAUUUCCACGGGCCUAAUAGGUUCAAUAACUUAUAUGUGCCCAUAAGGCAACCCUUCUCUGUGUGGUGCCAAAUGUUUAUUUAGCCAGAGUAGAAACAGAUUAGAAAGUACAAAUCACAUCUUUGGCUAUUAAUAUUACAAACAUCAUUUCAAAUCCACUCAAAUGCAUCCCUCCUAUUAAAGAAUAUGUUUUAAUAAGAAUCUCAUGAAUUAAACAAACUGCAGGCUCACAGAGUGAUCAGUAGAAAACGAGCUAUAAUGAAAAUGUCCAUGAUGGCUCACUGUGGUGUGAACCAUGUCAGACAGCACUUAUCAAAAGCAGUCAAACGUCAACAUUAAUAUUCCACCUAUUUCGACGCUUCUUUCCACCUCAUUAACACUUACAUUAUUAGAUGAAAUCACAAGCUGCAUAAAUACCAGGAGCACCUGAUAUCUAGGUUAAAACCAAUGCUAGAAUUCUACCCAACACAAAGGUACAAUUGUAUAAUCUCCACAUUAGCUAGUUUUACUCUAAGCUGCAGCCAGAAGUGCUACACUUGACACUGUGUGCCUAAUAGCAGUUAUUGACCCUACGUGGUAUUUUGCGAACAUGUCUUGCUUAGGAAGGUGGCGGGUGGUGUUGUGCCUGGGCUGAGCCCUCCGUCUGGAAGUGUUUCCCUGCGGUACCGCAGUAAUUACACAUGUACGUGUGAUUUUCUACAGAGGGGAGAGCGAAUAAAAAUAAUAAAGCAAGCAGAGAGCAGGAGGAGGAGAAGAAGAAGAGGAGCAGGAGGAGGAGGUCAGGCAAAACCAUGAUGGGUGGUGUAGCGUAUCCACGGCAACCGUGACAGGCAAUCAUAGCUUGCUUUUCACAGAGGAUCCUGCCGAGAGAAGAGGAACAGAGAUUUAAAGCACACAGAUUAAUCGUCCCUUUUCAUCUAAUUAUCAUCCCUGCCAGUGCCAUUAUCGUCACGACCAUCAGCUCAGGUGAGAAUCUCAGGUACGCCCUCACUCCCCCCCUUAAGAAUGGCAGCAUUAGGAUUUCUAAGCCUUCUGAGGACUGGUUAAUGGACGCGUCUAUUGGUCCAGAAGAAUUACAAAAAUUACAGUGUUAUUAUGACAAUUAUUAGUCUACAUUUACAGAUAGGAAUUAGUCCAACAUUCACAGAUGGACAAAUCAGUUUUAUGGUGUAAUUAGACACAGUGCAUUGCAGUGCUAAUAUGUCGACACAGAGGGUAGAUUGUUAGAUGGGAAGACGGAUUUUGACAGAUGACGUGCUGUCGUUCUAACACAGGUUAGAGUCAAGUAAGACUAACUACGAGCACUAUGCUUUUGAACAAACAGGACAAAACAACACAGAAGCACUAGAGCACGCCAUGCCUUUUACCUGUCCAUCAGUGGGGCU
ensembl:lncRNA